CCCCCUGGACGAAGACUGACGCUCAGGUGCGAAAGCGUGGGGAGCAAACAGGAUUAGAUACCCUGGUAGUCCACGCCGUAAACGAUGUCGACUUGGAGGUUGUGCCCUUGAGGCGUGGCUUCCGGAGCUAACGCGUUAAGUCGACCGCCUGGGGAGUACGGCCGCAAGGUUAAAACUCAAAUGAAUUGACGGGGGCCCGCACAAGCGGUGGAGCAUGUGGUUUAAUUCGAUGCAACGCGAAGAACCUUACCUACUCUUGACAUCCAGAGAACUUACCAGAGAUGCUUUGGUGCCUUCGGGAACUCUGAGACAGGUGCUGCAUGGCUGUCGUCAGCUCGUGUUGUGAAAUGUUGGGUUAAGUCCCGCAACGAGCGCAACCCUUAUCCUUUGUUGCCAGCGGU
rnacentral:rRNA from 1 species